AAUUAUCUUCGCAAAGUACCUCUCAGGAAAAACCAAGCACUUGACAGUCGAUCUUAGUAAAGACAGGUACUCAUUUUUUGGAUCUUCUUUCAGAUCCUACAACAUUGGCUCAAAAAAUUAUUACAGUUUACUCAAAUCAGUUUCAAUAAAACUUGAAAAGUGUGAGAACUACUAGUCUACUAACCUUGUUUAUAUCUUUUCCGAAUGCAUCCUUGUAGUGAUUCAAAGUAGCAUUAAUUUGUGCUUUGCUCCUUGUAGCUAAAAUCCUGAUGAAAUCGUCGUCGUUAUAAGCCUUCUUUGAAAUCUUCUCAUGCAGUAUUUUUGCCUCGGCUUUUGCUAUAGUCAAGUUGACUUCAUCUCCCUCAUAGCGGUAAGAACUAACCAGAGGUAAUAGGAGCUAGACAACCAAAAAUAAACUAAUUUUGAAUUUUUGACUUUUGAGUGACACAAACAUAAAUCAAACAAAAAAAAUUCAGUUCAAGUUUUUAAAAGUAUGAUCCUGCAUUUAGUCUAAAUACAAAAUAAGCCAAGAUCAGAUAUACGCAAUAGUUAUCAUCAAAUGUUCAUUUCAGCUUAUAACUAUCAAAUUUAUGCACAGAAAUCAGUCAGUAGUACCUUACGGAAGUCUCCGGUUGUGUGGUAAGCAACAUCUUCUUCAAGAGAUUUCUUAUGAAGAGCAUGAUAAGC
rnacentral:lncRNA from 1 species